rnacentral:lncRNA from 10 species
UCUGCAAUAUGCAGACACAUAAAUUAUUAUUUUAAACAUAUACUUAAAAGACGGAUAAAAUGAUUUUUUUUCAUGUGACCCAGAUUCUGUUAUCAGUAGAUACAAAAUUAAUUUCAUUCCUAUUAGGAUGGAAACUGGUAUGCUGCUGUGGCCAUAGAUAUUCUGAGAAACCUCUUAAGCCAGUGAACCAAAAACCAUAUGAAAGAAAGUAAUACUUUCUAUGAUUGGUCAACUGGCUGUUCAAAAAUUCAACAAGCAAACAAACAUGCAAACAUGUGACAUAUGUCAUUAUUUUGUAAAAACAUAAUGCCACUCUGGCCCCAGGAAUCACUACAGCCCAGCUGGUCCUUAAAGGUGCAAACAGCCUUUAAUUGCUACUAAACAUCUUCUCUGGUAUUUUACUGCCCAUCACACUUGCCACAUGAUUCUCAGAAGCUUAGGCUUCCAAGAUGUUUAAGGAAAAUAAACAGGGUGUGAUGUGGAUCAAGUUUUCAGUGAUUGUUUUAAGUGUCAUUUUAAAAAGAACUUCCUAGUAAUGAAGUAUGUAAUAGUCCUUGAUAUUAAAUUUUUUCUAGUGAAAUAAACUAUGCUUUAAUAAGACAAUGUUGCUCUAAGUUUGACCGCCUGAUUUUUUUUUUCUCUUUUUUAGAGGGUACUAUUUCAUAUAUUGUGUGAGCCCCACAAAUGUCUAUUUUAAAAAGAGUAUAGUCCCUGGCCAGGCGCGGUGGCUCACGCCUGUAAUCCCAGCAGUUUGGGAGGCCGAGGUGGGCGGAUCACCUGAGGUCUGGAGUUCGAGACCAGCCUGACCAAUAUGGUGAAACCCCGUUUCUACUAAAAAUACAAAAUUAGCUGGGCAUGGUACUGCUAGUGUAGAGACAUUCUCUUGAUCUGUGUUUAUCUUGAAUCAUAACACCCCAGUGAACUCUUAUUAUUUGUUUCUCUGUUAAUUCUGUUAUAUUUCUAGUAUAUGAGCAUAUUAUCUACAAACAAUGACACUGUUAUCUCUUUCUUUGCAACUUUUCUUUUUUCUCUUCUUAC